rnacentral:rRNA from 1 species
AUUGAACGCUAGCGGGAUGCUUUACACAUGCAAGUCGAACGGCAGCGCGGACUUCGGUCUGGCGGCGAGUGGCGAACGGGUGAGUAAUGUAUCGGAACGUGCCCAGUAGCGGGGGAUAACUACGCGAAAGCGUAGCUAAUACCGCAUACGCCCUACGGGGGAAAGCAGGGGAUCGUAAGACCUUGCACUAUUGGAGCGGCCGAUAUCGGGUUAGCUAGUUGGUGAGGUAACGGCUCACCAAGGCGACGAUCCGUAGCUGGUUUGAGAGGACGACCAGCCACACUGGGACUGAGACACGGCCCAGACUCCUACGGGAGGCAGCAGUGGGGAAUUUUGGACAAUGGGGGCAACCCUGAUCCAGCCAUCCCGCGUGUGCGAUGAAGGCCUUCGGGUUGUAAAGCACUUUUGGCAGGAAAGAAACGUCGCGGGCUAAUACCCCGUGGAACUGACGGUACCUGCAGAAUAAGCACCGGCUAACUACGUG